UAUAGGUAGCGAUUCUUUACAGUUUUUGGCAUUAGACAAAAACCCUAUAAUUUUUUUGAACUUUACUUGUUUAUAUAUUUUUUAAGGUUAAGCAUGAAACUUGAAAUUUUUUGCAUUAUUCAGUUUAAAUCUACCUCUUUUCCAUCAUAUAUAGGAAGUACUAUUUACUACUUUAUAUACUAUUUAUAUGGCUUCACUUAUAUAUUUUACUUUUCAGAGUUUCAGAAAAAAUUUAUGUUCCAACUUGCUGAAAUGAAAAUAUUUUUAGUAGAUAGAACUAUACUGUUUUCUAAUAAUCCAGAAGAAGGUUUUAAACAAUGUAAAACAGUUAUCAUUAAUUGGCGGUAAAAAUCUAGCUGAUACAAUUAAAAAUAUUUUGCUCUUGUAAGUAAUUAACAAAAGUUUGAGUUUUACCAUUUAUGAUUGACAGUACAGCAUUUAGCUUCUUUUUUACAUAUGUAGACUACCAACAGACACUAUUUUAUCAGAAUACAGCAUGAAUUGUUUAAAGAAGAAAAAAAAGUUUAAAGAGUUGACAAGUCUAUGUAACGCUGUCACUAAGGCUGCUUUAAAGUAAAAAAAAACUUAACCAAAAUGGAUGCUAUCCAACUAAUUGGGAGUAUAAUUAGGCAUUCUUCUGACCGAAUAAAGAGAACAUCAACUAAUAUGGAUUUCGAUCGGUGAUGGCUUAAUUAACUGUUGUAUUUUUUUUAUUUUUUUUAUUUUUAAGCAAUUUUCUUCUAUUUAUA